rnacentral:lncRNA from 1 species
AAUAUAAUUGGUUCUUAGAAUUUCUUCUAGUAACGCUGUACCCUAUAAUAUUAGAUUUAUAUCGUGAAAUAUAUUGAGAAUUCUUGAAAAUAGCGAAUGAGCAUUUGGCUUACACGCUGCGCGCCAUAAGAAUUUUCGUUGUUCGCGAGCGGUAAUAUUAUAGAAGCUUAACUGAGGCUCGUCGAUUACGAUAACAUUUGGAAUACCUCAUUAUCGUGAUAAAAAAUGCGGACGUGCCGUGCCGACAAAAGCUGUCGCGAAGGAGAAGGGGAGGCGUAAAAGUCGGACUCGUCACCCCUCUUCGGGUCAAUUACAGCACGAGACAGACCUCCCGUCCGGGGGGAUCAUUAUCGCGAAAUUGUGCGUAUCGUGCACCACUACUGAUGCAGCGUACCCUGUGCAAGCGCGGAAUUGGAUUUCGAAAUGUGAAAAUACGAGUCCGCGGGGGGGAUGGGGCGAUGGGGGAUGGACGGAUGAGACUCGAGGGAGACGAACGGUAGAUUCACGUGGUGAGACAUCUGUCGGACAACUUAACAACCGCCCGUCUCUCACUCCGAUCCCGCUAUAUAUCCAUCCAUAUAAAUUGUAUAUGUAUAGUAUAACGCGCUGCAGGGCGAUACAUUCCUGAGACGCCCCGUCGUUUCUUUUCGCAGUUACAUACCUCUCGCCUUUUUCCCCCGUUUAACAAACAGACAGCACAAUGCGAGAACUGCGGGGCUAGUCACGUGCUAGUCAUGUUCUCAUAGUCAUCAACGUAUAACUGUUAUAUCAGCACGCAGAGAACGAUUACUACAUUUUUCUCGCAUAAUUAAUUGACAUUAAUUGACGCAGGGUGUGACAUAUAUUUUUUUCUUAUUUUAAUUGUAUCGAUAGUAGUAAUUUUUCUUCUUUUUUUUUUUUUUGUUUGCAACAGUUCGAGAAAACGAGAUACGCUCGAUAUAGCGAGCGAAAUUUUGUGGGGGAAGCACGCGUGCGCACGCAAUUUUGCACACGUGUGUAUGUAAUUGCAGAUGUGUCCAACAUAUUAUUUGUAUGGACGGUGCAACGGACUGUCUCUGUGUGGACACACCGUGCGUCCACACGAUUUCACUCGGUGCUCUAUUUAGCGCUUGUUAGCGCCGACAAUACCACGCAGCUGAUCCCCUUAACGAGGCCGAGGUUCGUAUUGUGCGAGGGUGUAAAGCUCCGCGCGUGGCCUGUGUGCGCAGCAUAAGCAUGCGUCGGAGACGCGGACAAGCGAGAGCAAACCGUUAACCCAUUAUCUUCUUCAGGAAAAACUGCAAAUAAAUUCAGAAGAUGGUAUUAUAAUUAUCCAGUCGUUAUUUGCCUUUGUCUCAACAUUGACGUGCUUGUGCGAACGACUCAAAAUUUACAUUAUUAGACGAGAUCAUCGACUUAAAUUAUGUAUAAUCGUAUCUUCCACAUAACACACAAAACACGGAAAAGGGAUGACAUAUUGUGAAAUAUAAAGCUAUUUUAUAGCAAAUGUUGUACAACAGGUCGAAUAAUCCAACAUCAAGAGAAAAAAAUCAUCUUAUUUUGCAUUCCUGAUCCUGCUGUGCUUUGAAUUAUGAAGGAAGUGUCCAGUAAGUCUCCAGCUCGUAAAGACAUCAAGCAAACAGUUAUGCCCAUCCAAUGUGUUAAUGCGCAAUUUCGAGAUACAUGUCUCUCUCUUAUUGGAAUACAAAAUCCUUCAACGUUCAAAAUUAAUGUCUCUUAGCCCCUGCUGAGAAAUUGAAAGAAAAUCAGAAAGCCGGUUACCCAACAGUAGUCAAAAUGAGCGACAUAAUAUCGAAGAUACACUCUCAGUCAUGUGUCGUGUGGUGCUUCCAAACAUUUUAGAAAAAUACCUCGAAUUUGGAGAUGCUGCGUGAUACAUGAUUAAAAAUGAAGAACAUAAAAUGUGAAACAAUCUUUAUAUAUAAAAAUAUAAAAAUAAUUUUAUAUUGCGAGCAAUUUUGGAUUAUUCUACACACGCGCUUCAUUUGUCUCUCAAACAUUAUAUAUUAAUGCGGACAACCAGCUUAUAGCACCCAUAUAUAACACCCAUACAGUGCUUUGUAACGAAAAAUUGUCAAAAAAACAGAUGAAGUCCUGCUGUGAACAAAAAGCAUUUUUUUCAAAAGGUUUACGCAAUCUUUAGCCUGAACGAUCACAAGCAUCUUAAGCAUAAUGGAGUAGUAAAGGACUUAUUAUAGCCACAAUGGAUUUCGGGUAAAUAUCUCGAAUGAUUGCACGUGUUGCAUUGCAGAAGGACGAUUGCCUUUUAAAGAUCUUUUAGAAACCUUCUCAGCGUGAAGUAAGUUACAAACGAUGCCAAAAACUUCAGAACAAGAAAAUUUGUUUUAGAUAAUCGGACAUGAAUACAUUAUUACUUCUAUUGAAAAAUAAGGUGAACGCCCGGACAUAUACGUACCUGUGUCCGGACACUUGCUAAAAGCUCAUUAUUAAGAUACUUUAUUGCAAUAUUUAAUUUUAAUUAUAAUCUUCAAAAUAAUUAAAGAUUACAAUCGAAUUUCAUUAUUAUAUGAUAAGAAAACAUUUGUGAUUAAUAAUAAUGGUUGUUGUGUGGAUGUCCGGAUAUGGGAUGCGUGUCCGGUUAUUGGGAGUUCUUGAAAAAAAGUAAAUACUGAUAUGAAAUAAAGUAAUGGUAUCUGCCAAAAUAUUUCAUAAAUUAAAAACGUGCGUACAUAUGCAUGUAUAAUAUUACAUUUUUAUUUGUUUAUAAGUAAAAGAAAUUUAUAAGAUAUCUUUGUGUUUUUACUGAUUUAUAUAGCUUUUGCAUUGUUAUACAGUGCCUUGUAGGAUAAUGUUAGUAAUAUAGAACAUUUAAAAUUUAACUUUAAA